rnacentral:rRNA from 1 species
UACGUAGGGGGCGAGCGUUGUCCGGAUUUAUUGGGCGUAAAGAGCUCGUAGGCGGCUUAGCAAGUCGGGUGUGAAAACUCCAGGCUCAACCUGGGGACGCCACUCGAGACUGCUAUGGCUAGAGUCCGGUAGGGGACCACGGAAUUCCUGGUGUAGCGGUGAAAUGCGCAGAUAUCAGGAGGAACACCGGUGGCGAAGGCGGUGGUCUGGGCCGGCACUGACGCUGAGGAGCGAAAGCGUGGGGAGCAAACAGG